AACGAACGCUGGCGGCAUGCCUAACACAUGCAAGUCGAACGUGAAAGUACUUCGGUAUGAGUAAAGUGGCGCACGGGUGAGUAACACGUAGGUGACCUGCCUAUUAAUGGGGAAUAACCAGAAGAAAUUUUGGCUAAUACCGCAUACGAAGUACAAAUCUUAGAGUAGUACUUGAAAGGAUGCCUCUGUAUAUGCAUUCGUUAAUAGAUGGGCCUGCGGUACAUUAGCUAGUUGGUGGGGUAAAGGCCUACCAAGGCAACGAUGUAUAUCCGGUCUGAGAGGAUGAUCGGACACACUGGAACUGAGACACGGUCCAGACUCCUACGGGAGGCAGCAGUGGGGAAUAUUGCGCAAUGGGGGAAACCCUGACGCAGCAAUGCCGCGUGAGUGAGGAAGGAUUUCGGUCUGUAAAGCUCUGUUAAUGUGGAAGAAUGAGACGUGGUCUAAUAGGCCAUGUAAGUGACGGUACACAUAGAGGAAGCACCGGCUAACUUCGUG
rnacentral:rRNA from 1 species